UCAAAGGCAAAUGGCAACACUAAUUUAGUAGCAGAGUUUUUGUUGUUUGCUUUUAUAGUUGUUAUUUGCUUGUUAUUGUAUCAUAAAUGUUUUUUCUCAAUUAUUUUUUGUCGUUUGUUAUACAAAACUCAACCGCUGCCGAAGAUGUUUUUGUCGUAGUCAUCGGCGUCGUCGUCGUAGUCAUCGUAAUCGUUGCCGUUGGUGUGUGGCAUGCGACGAUGACUAUGGGAGAAUCCGCUGCUGCCGCCGCAGCCGCUCGACGACACACUAUCGCAUGGGAAGUAUACAAUGCCGCCGCUGCCACCACUACCACUACUACUACUACCAACACAGCAUUGUGGCGAAUGUUUAUAGAUUUUCAGUCGAAUUUUGUUAUUUCACGUACAAAGUGGCGCGCGCGAGCCGCCGCUCUAGCAAAUCAUAUGAAAUCGUGACGUUAUAUAGAAUAAUUUGUGUCGAAAAUUGUAACAACAACAAAAUAUAAAAACAACAAAAUAUAUUAACACAUAUAAUUUACUUGGUGAAAGGUGUAAAAUGCAUGGUUCGGUGCAAGUGGCAAAAGUGGGAAAAUGGUGAUGUUCUAUGAAAGCGGUAAUAAAUUCGUAAUUUGUAUGCCAUACGAAGUAAAACAAAACAAAUGUAAAUAAUAUUAAAUAAACACGCAAUAAACUGAAUUUGUAAAUAUAAAA